rnacentral:rRNA from 1 species
CUACGGGAUGCUGCAGUGGGGAAUAUUGGGCAAUGGGCGCAAGCCUGACCCAGCAACGCCGCGUGAGGGAAGAAGGUUUUCGGAUUGUAAACCUCUGUCCUUGGGGACAAAGAAGUGACGGUACCCAAGGAGGAAGCUCCGGCUAACUACGUGCCAGCAGCCGCGGUAAUACGUAGGGAGCAAGCGUUGUCCGGAAUUACUGGGCGUAAAGGGUGCGUAGGCGGCAUAUUAAGUCAGGUGUGAAAUACUCGGGCUCAACCCGGGGGCUGCAUUUGAAACUGAUAUGCUUGAGUGUGAGAGAGGAAAGUGGAAUUCCUAGUGUAGCGGUGGAAUGCGUAGAUAUUAGGAGGAACACCAGUGGCGAAGGCGACUUUCUGGCUCAUAACUGACGCUGAGGCACGAAAGCGUGGGGAGCAAACAGGAUUAGAUACCCCGGUAGUC